rnacentral:pre_miRNA from 1 species
AAAAUACUCCCUCCGUUUCAUAAUUCUUGUCAAAAUAUUACAUGUAUCUAGACACUUUUUAGGAAUAGAUACAUCUAUUUUUGAUCAAUUUUGAUAGAAGAAUUAUGAAACGGAGGAAGUACUGG